CUCUAAGUUGCGUGCAAUGGCUGGAGGCUUUCUCUUCCCCUAUGUUAACUCAAGAAAACAGAACGAUGUCUCAGCCAGACAUCAACCGCCCUCGCUUGGUCCCUUCCUUCUCUGGGCUCUGGCAGCUGGUGAUUUCUUCAUUCUCUUAAUGUGUCAGGAGAAUGGUUGAGGCACAUAGUCCCUCAAUUAGAAUGCAAGAACAGCCACCUCCAUUGAAGACUGCCUGGACUAGGUCUCCAGUAGAUCACUUUGUAGCUGUGGAUGAGAUCCUCACCCUCCUCCUCCACUUCCCAAGUGCUGCUAGGGUUACAGUCCAUGAGUGUCCACCAUUUGGAAUUGACAAUUGGAGCCUAACAAGUUCAACCAAAGUGUCUUAGAUGGGGUUUUACUGCUGUGAACAAACACAAUGAUGAAGUAACUCUUGCUGAGAGUGCUUGGAUUGCAAGUGAAUUUUAAACCAGAGACACAGAAGAC
ensembl:lncRNA